rnacentral:ncRNA from 1 species
ACACGAUAAUACUAAACCAUUCGCGAGGGUGGGGCGGAAAGCCUAUAGGGUCUCUAUGAGACAGCCGGGAUGCCGAA